CCUACGGGAGGCAGCAGUGGGGAAUUUUGGACAAUGGGCGAAAGCCUGAUCCAGCAAUGCCGCGUGAGUGAAGAAGGCCUUCGGGUUGUAAAGCUCUUUUGUCAGGGAAGAAACGGUGAUUUCUAAUACAGAUUGCUAAUGACGGUACCUGAAGAAUAAGCACCGGCUAACUACGUGCCAGCAGCCGCGGUAAUACGUAGGGUGCAAGCGUUAAUCGGAAUUACUGGGCGUAAAGCGUGCGCAGGCGGUUAUGUAAGACAGAUGUGAAAUGCCCGGGCUUAACCUGGGAACUGCAUUUGUGACUGCAUGGCUAGAGUUUGGCAGAGGGGGGUAGAAUUCCACGUGUAGCAGUGAAAUGCGUAGAUAUGUGGAGGAACACCGAUGGCGAAGGCAGCCCCCUGGGUCAAGACUGACGCUCAUGCACGAAAGCGUGGGGAGCAAACAGGAUUAGAUACCCUGGUAGUCCCACGCCCUAAACGAUGUCUACUAGUUGUCGGGUCUUAAUUGACUUGGUAACGCAGCUAACGCGUGAAGUAGACCGCCUGGGGAGUACGGUCGCAAGAUUAAAACUCAAAGGAAUUGACGG
rnacentral:rRNA from 1 species